rnacentral:lncRNA from 1 species
GUCUGGACAACUACAGAGUGCUGAGGUCCCUUGGUGUGAAAAGCAUCACUCCUUUACUUCCAGGAUCAUAGGAAGGACCAGGAGGCCUCCAGGGAGUAGCUGAGGUGGCCUGGAGGUACCCUUGGGGGACUUUGGGUCAGGAGCAGGCAGUGGCUAUUUAUAAUCUCGUAGAAAAUUAUAUGAAUAUUUUAGUCCUCAGUCUGGACUUGCUUGUGUGUCAGUGAAGUAUGGGCUCUGCUCCUCUGCAAUGUGGCUGUGGAGUGCAGCAAUGAGACAUGGAAAGGGGAGGGAAGUGGUGGGUUAUUGUUGCUUUCCAAUGAAAUCCUCCUUGUUGACCACCUUCUAAAUACCUACUCCAGUCCCACAUUGCUUCUUACCUGCCACCCUCCUUCCUUACAGCAACCAACCUUCACUGAGUGCAGACUAUGUGUCCAGAGACUGUGCAAGACUUUGGAUCCUAGAGAGAUUAACAUGUGCCCUUUUUCCUUCAGGGAAGUCAAGCCCGCGGGACUACUGGUAUGUGAGCGGCGUGGGACAGGAUUGUCUGCUGCUCCUUCUAAAGCUGUAUCUAUGCCCUGGAGUCCCCAUGAAAGAAGGAGCUACUUUCCAGAGCAAGAGUUGGCAGGGCAGUGCGGUCCUGCACGUGGCCAGGAGGACACAGAAGCCAUGGGGAGCGGCAAGGAUGACCAGCCCGGCACCCCAGGCCCUCGAAUUACCAGGUGUGCUGAAACAUGAGAACACUCAUGUCUUCUCUGGAGUGUGGCCCUCCUCAAAGCUUCUAUGCAGACACUGAGAAUGACCUGGGAGGAACUGGGGCCGGGUCCCGAGGAAGAGGACUGUGCAACAGGUUUCUGGACAGUGUGUGGGGCUGAAGUGUGCAAAGGACGGUGGUGAAUGGUGUUUGGCCUUUGCUUCCAACUAUACUUGAAAAUCUGGCCCCCCAGCUCUGGGAGGAAAGGUGUAACCUCAGAACCAUCUCGGGUCUGUCAUUGAUUUGUAUAUAAAAUGGUAAGCCCCUUACGUCUCCUGCUUUAACAUUUCCUGCCUCCUCUAUCCCUUGUAUUUCUCCAGAGCCCUUAUUACUAGCUAAAAUCCUGUCUCUCCCCAGAAAGUGAGCUCCACGAGUCAGACAUUUUAUCUCUUCUACUCUGCUCAUCUCUCAUCUCAGAGACCAUCUGGGAAGCAGUUGGUCCUCAAUAAAUAUUGGUAUGAAGUGACA